UUUGGCAAACCCGUGCGAAAGCCGGGGACGCAAAGCCACCGGGCUGACGGAUGCUCACGACGUGAAUAUCCAAGCUAGCGGGGUUGCCG
rnacentral:ncRNA from 1 species